rnacentral:rRNA from 1 species
AAUAACGAUACGGGACUCUAUUGAGGCCCCGUAAUCGGAAUGAGUACACUUUAAAUCCUUUAACAAGGAUCCAUUGGAGGGCAAGUCUGGUGCCAGCAGCCGCGGUAAUUCCAGCUCCAAUAGCGUAUAUUAAAGUUGUUGCGGUUAAAAAGCUCGUAGUUGGUUCUGCGUGCCGCGCUGUCGGUUCGCCGCCUGUCGGUGUAACUGGCAUGUCGCGGCAUGUCCUGUCGGUGGUGAACGGGAUUCCCGGUGCGGCUAAGGCUUUACAGCCGAAGUUUAGUGCCGUGUGAAUGCCGUUUACCGAUCUCUCCUACUCCGGUGCUCUUAAACGAGUGUCGAGGUAGGCCGACACGUUCACUUUGAACAAAUUAGAGUGCUUAAAGCAGGCUGAAAUAUCUGCCUGAAUAGUGGUGCAUGGAAUGAUAAAAUAGGACCUCGGUUCUAUUUUGUUGGUUUUAGGAAUGUGAGGUAAUGAUCAAUGUGGACUGGCGGGGGCAUUCGUAUUGCGACGUUAGAGGUGAAAUUCUUGGAUCGUCGCAAGACGCACUAAAGCGAAAGCAUUUGCCAAGUAUGUCUUAAUUGAUCAAGAACGAAAGUUAGAGGUUCGAAGGCGAUCAGAUACCGCCCUAGUUCUAACCAUAAACGAUGCCAGCCAGCGAUCCGCCGAUGUUCCAUUAAUGACUCGGCGGGGAGCUUCCACCCGGGAAACCAAAGCUUUUGGGUUCCGGGGGAAGUAUGGUUGCAAAGCUGAAACUUAAAGGAAUUGACGGAAGG